rnacentral:rRNA from 1 species
UGCCAGCCGCCGCGGUAAGACGGAGGGUGCAAACGUUGCUCGGAAUCACUGGGCAUAAAGCGCACGUAGGCGGCUAUCUCAGUUGGAUGUGAAAGCCCUCGGCUCAACCGGGGAACUGCAUCCAAUACUGGAUAGCUCGAGGAUGGUAGGGGUGAGUGGAACUCCAGGUGGAGCGGUGAAAUGCGUAGAUAUCUGGAGGAACACCGGUGGCGAAAGCGGCUCACUGGACCAUCUCUGACGCUGAGGUGCGAAAGCCAGGGUAGCGAACGGGAUUAGAUA